GCCGGAAUUGCUAGUAAUGGCAGGUCAGCAUACUGCCGUGAAUACGUUCCCGGGCCUUGUACACACCGCCCGUCACACCAUGAGAGUUGGGAAUACCCGAAGCCUGUGAGCUAACGUAAGAGGCAGCAGUCGAAGGUAGAAUCAAUGAUUGGGGUGAAGUCGUAACAAGGUAAC
rnacentral:rRNA from 1 species